rnacentral:misc_RNA from 1 species
GAAAUGCGAUACGUAAUGUGAAUUGCAAAUUCCGUGAAUCAUCAAAUCUUUGAACGCACAUUGCGCUCAUAGGUAUUCCUGUGAGCAUGCCUGUUUGAGUGUCAGUAUCAUUUUCAAUCUUAAAUCUUUUGAUUAGAGAUUGGUUAUGGGUCGUUUCUCAUGUCGUAAGAUGUGAGUGAUCUUAAAUGUAAAGUCAAUGUAAAAGUCAUUUACUUUUAAGCGUGAUAAUGAUGUUUACAUCUUUUUCUAAACUUAAUCAGUAAAUUUUUUAUUUUGAUAUAAACUGAUAUCAGUUCGAUGUCAAACCCACUAGAGGAAAAGCUUAAAAACCUUUCCUUGAAACUUGACCUCAAAUCAAGCAAGACUACCCGCUGAACUUAA